rnacentral:tRNA from 1 species
GCUGACGUAGCUCAAGUGGUAGAGCAGCUGAUUUGUAAUCAGCCGGUUCCCGGUUCGAGUCCGGGCGUCAGCUCCU